UUUCCGUAGGUGAACCUGCGGAAGGAUCAUUACUGAGUGAGGGCCCCUCGGGGUCCAACCUCCCACCCGUGUUUAACGAACCUUGUUGCUUCGGCGGGCCCGCCUCACGGCCGCCGGGGGGCACCUGCCCCCGGGCCCGCGCCCGCCGAAGCCACCUGUGAACGCUGUCUGAAGUAUGCAGUCUGAGACAAUUAUUAAAUUAAUUAAAACUUUCAACAACGGAUCUCUUGGUUCCG
rnacentral:misc_RNA from 1 species